UAGGUCCUCUUUGGGAAUGGCACGGACUGAUAUUACAAGAAUCUGUGGGUGGAGAUGGUUGGUCUGGCCCAACCUAGUUCCAGAUGACCUCCCAGCAAAGAUCCCACGGGAUAAGAAAAGACCUCUUCAGUCUUUUUUGGGUACUCUGCUUGGGCCCUCUCACUCUCCCAAACUCCCAUGUUCUCUCUUUCUCUCCCUCCAUUCCCUCUGCCCUCGCCCUUUCCCUCCCUCCAUUCCCUCUGCCCUCGCCCUUUCCCUCCCUCCAUUCCCUCUGCCCUCGCCCUUUCCCUCCCACCAUUCUUCUUGCCCUCUCUCUUCCUCCCUCCAUCCCUCCCUUUCUAUCUUUGGUUCUUAAAAGCAUAUCCUAAUAGGUCUUUAGAUUGUUAACAAAAAGGGAGGGAUAUUUAAACUUGCUUUGACUAGUUAUUAGGAAUAUUUUAGUUAAGGGAGCUUAGUAUAUUGAUUAGUUAAGAGACAACUUGCUUUGACUUCUUAUUAGGGAUAUUUUAGACCUAUGAGAAUUCCUAUUUAAACUUUGUGAAGUUAAGGAAUUGCUGUGCAUGAAUGGUGUAAUAUAAACAAAAAAGGCAAUCGAUCUCAACUGAAACAUCACCUUUUUAUGGGUAGUAGAAAGUUUAGACGAUCUCUUCUUUUCCUAGCUUAUUGUUCCAUGUUUUCUUGCAUGUUGCUGGAUUAAUUCCUUGUUCAUUAUGCUUGCUCUUGCCAAGAGAUAUGCAAAUAUGCUGAUGUCUGUAGUUGCUCUAUGAAGUCAUUCAUGAUGUUGGAAGAAAGUAUAUUUUAUUCUGACAUCGAGCAGAAAAUUGUUUGCAUGUACAUAUCUGAUGCUACACAAUGAUGUUCAUGUUCAAUAAGGAAUGUUACUAAUAGUUUGUUUUGGUGUAGUAAAAGUAUGACAUUGCUAGUUGCAUUUUAUUCCUUUUUGUUUUUGCUUAAUGAAUUUUUUUAGUUGGUGCUACUAAAAAUAAAACCUUAUUAUAUCAUGGGCUCUCAUAUUUUGUUAUGAUAUAACCAUUAAAAAUCUAGAGAUUUUUGAUCUGUAUAUGUUUUAACAUGUGUAGAGAGGUCAUUGCUUAGUGCAAUGGUAAAGGCUUGGGUUGACAAGCGCAAUGGCGCGGGUUCGAGUCUUGGGGCAGCUACUUUGUACAACAAAAGCUCAAACUUCAAAGGUCAACAUGAAAAUUUAGCUUCUGGCCCUAUUGAGGACUUGAUAGCCCAUGGUGAACAUAGCCUCUAGUUUAUCUAUUGAAGUUGCAACACAUCUUCAACAGUGUCUGUCUAAGCAAAAAGGUGGAAAGAAUCAGUUGUGGGAGCUUUGUUUAAGGCUAAGGCUAAUGAAGGUGAGGGCCCGGAACUACUUCAUAGUACAUCAGACACCAAUACUAGUGAUCAUGCUGAGUCAUUGGUUGCAAACCUUGCAGAACAUCGGCAACAUUUAGUUAGCAUACAGGGCCUCAUCAAUCAACUAAAGGAAGCUAUUCCAGCAAUGCAGAAGUCAAUAUCAGAGCUCACUGAAGAAGUAAAUAGUAUUAGAGCAAAUGCUGCAAUCAAUCUAUACUAUGAAGGUGAGAGGAGAAAGAGAUUAGAAUUUUUCAAAACUCCAAAAAACCAAGACCAGUUUCCUGGAUGGGCAGAUAGUCCUCUAUAUCAACCACCCACGCUUCAGUUCUAAAGUCAUGGUUCUCUCUCCCUUCCUCACUCCGCACCUUUAUCUGAAACUGAUGCUGCCCCAAUGGAACAUUAGAGUCCCGAAGAAAUUCUUCAUGGUUACCGGAAGCUCAGCUGGUAGAUGGAAUGUUGAGAAUUCUUUGCAGUCCUUGCAUUUGGGACCAACACGUAUCUGCAUGGCACAUCCACCAAGCUUCAACAUGUGGAUGCAUGUGUGCGUCAACUUCGCACACAAAAAACUGUCUUUCUUUUCGUAUCAAAAGAAAUCUCUGGAGGCAUGGAAUCACUUUUGGGUUCAUCAGGACGGGUGAUGUAUUGACAUCAGCGUAUAGUGGAGAUGCUCCCACUUUUGUAUUUACUUUACAUCAUCUGUAAUUGUAUUGUGGUAAGUCAAAAACCACCACUCGUCCAAAUGCCUUGUGCCAUCAAUGGCUUGUUUGGUCCAAUGUGUUUCUUAUGAGUUUCUGAGCUUGAUUCUUAUUUCCGUUAUACAAGUCCUCAAUAUUGUAAUAGCUUAUCCUUUGGUCUUAUCUGGAAACAUGGUAUAGAUAGAUGUUAGAAGAUUAUGCAAUCUCUUAUCGAAAACUUGCCGAGUUUGUCAAAACUCGAGUAUUUCUUGUUUCAGAAUA